rnacentral:rRNA from 1 species
UACAGAGGUCCCAAGCGUUGUUCGGAUUUACUGGGCGUAAAGGGUGCGUAGGCGGCCAAAAAAGUCUGAUGUGAAAUCUUGGAGCUCAACUCCGAAACUGCAUUGGAUACUGGUUGGCUUGAGGAGUGGAGGGGAGACUGGAAUUCUCGGUGUAGCAGUGAAAUGCGUAGAUAUCGAGAGGAACACCAGUGGCGAAGGCGAGUCUCUAGACAUUUCCUGACGCUGAGGCACGAAAGCCAAGGGAGCAAACGGG